CGUCAAAUCAUCAUGCCCUAUAUGACCUGGGCUACACACGUGCUACAAUGGGGUGAACAACGGGAGGCGAACCCGCGAGGGUAAGCGGAGCCCUAAAAACACCUCUCAGUUCGGAUUGCAGGCUGCAACCCGCCUGCAUGAAGCCGGAAUUGCUAGUAAUCGCGGAUCAGCAAGCCGCGGUGAAUACGUUCCCGGGCCUU
rnacentral:rRNA from 1 species